rnacentral:lncRNA from 1 species
ACGCUGCUCACUUAGAGUCAUUCGGUGGGAAAAUAACUUUAUUUGAAAUCCAACAUCUAAAGGGAAACAAAGUUCAGCGUUAGGCAAGAACUUACAUUAUCGUUAGCCCCUAUUUAACUUGUACACGUAUUUGACAAAUAAAUGAUAACGAUGCUUCCUUUAGUGUCCAAUGCAUCAUCAUUAUAUAGCGCCUAGAAGGCAACUAUAUAAAUAGUCGAUUUCCAUUUUUCCGGAACGAUUCCAACAGUACUAUCGAUCAACUAUAUCUCUUCACCUUAUAAUUUCUAUUUUUAUUAUAUCGUAUAAAAUAUAGUCAAAUACUACAAUCAUGUUUCAGGCUUGUUUUAUUUCCAGUGGCAGCCGCUCUGGCGAAAGUCAAGCGGACGUCUGCUUUGUGGAAAGGAAGACAUACUCGUCUGCAUACAUAUGAGCUGUAUUGUACGUUUUUUCGCGGUGAAUUGAAAGCCUGUUUACAUUGUAUUUGAUUUUCUAUGAAAGUCAAUUUCCAUUUAUUUAUAUAGCACUACAACAAUUAUUAUCUGUCAUUCUUUACGCAAACUGUUUGCAUCGGUUAGUCUAUGACCUGACGGCAGAACUCGGUUGUAGUACAUCUUCAAGCCUGACUCAAAGGAAACCACGAAAAUGCUAGCUUCCUGAGAAAUUCUAGUAAGCUAAAAGUCAAAUGACGAUUCUCUAAUUGGGAUCUGCGUAGGUCCGAGCAUACUACCCUUACUAGCUAUUAACAGGCACAAUUUUCACCGCUCUUAAUUAUCCGCAUAUCUAACAUUGGCGUCUUUGUCACAUUUGUUUUUUCGUGACUGAAAGCAGCCCUUGCUAUUUUUUUUAACGGAGAACAGAACUCAGUCACCAAAGUGACGUGAUGAGGAAGCCUAUCGUGUAUUCUUAGACGCCUUUCGGAUUUAACAAUCUUGGCAUCUGGUACAACAUAAACUCAAACAGAGUCUUCCCUCUCGCUGGUGCCUUUGACGCGAGUUUUCGAUAAUGACUGGGGGGAAAAAUGCGGUCCAAGUUUUUUCUGCGUCACCCUGCUCACAUGUGAAACAGGCGAACAUGAUGUUCUCGCGGAUCUAAGCGUUGUUUGUUUCUGAUACACGCACUUUGUACUGGAUACAGAUAAUGUCCAGUAUAUUCGAGUCUCGAUUGGUAACCCCUGCCGUCCAGUGGUAAUUGGCCUUCAUUUGCUUCAGCACUCUGAAAGAGUAUUUAA